UGGCUCAGAACGAACGCUGGCGGCAGGCUUAACACAUGCAAGUCGAGCGCCCCGCAAGGGGAGCGGCAGACGGGUGAGUAACGCGUGGGAAUCUACCCUUGACUACGGAAUAACGCAGGGAAACUUGUGCUAAUACCGUAUGUGUCCUUCGGGAGAAAGAUUUAUCGGUCAAGGAUGAGCCCGCGUUGGAUUAGCUAGUUGGUGGGGUAAAGGCCUACCAAGGCGACGAUCCAUAGCUGGUCUGAGAGGAUGAUCAGCCACAUUGGGACUGUGACACGGCCCAAACUCCUACGGGAGGCAGCAGUGGG
rnacentral:rRNA from 1 species